rnacentral:piRNA from 1 species
UGUGUCAUGAGAUACCAGACUGUCAGA